rnacentral:rRNA from 1 species
GACGAACGCUGGCGGCGUGCUUAACACAUGCAAGUCGAACGAAGAGCGAUGGAAGCUUGCUUCUAUCAAUCUUAGUGGCGAACGGGUGAGUAACGCGUAAUCAACCUGCCCUUCAGAGGGGGACAACAGUUGGAAACGACUGCUAAUACCGCAUACGAUCUAAUCUCGGCAUCGAGGAUAGAUGAAAGGUGGCCUCUACAUGUAAGCUAUCACUGAAGGAGGGGAUUGCGUCUGAUUAGCUAGUUGGAGGGGUAACGGCCCACCAAGGCGAUGAUCAGUAGCCGGCCUGAGAGGAUGAACGGCCACAUUGGGACUGAGACACGGCCCAGACUCCUACGGGAGGCAGCAGUGGGGAAUCUUCCGCAAUGGACGAAAGUCUGACGGAGCAACGCCGCGUGAGUGAUGACGGCCUUCGGGUUGUAAAGCUCUGUUAAUCGGGACGAAAGGCCUUCUUGCGAAUAGUGAGAAGGAUUGACGGUACCGGAAUAGAAAGCCACGGCUAACUACGUG